rnacentral:rRNA from 1 species
AUGUCUAUUGUGCCCGGCAAAAACAGAUUUGCAAGGAGUUUGCCAAAGGCUUUCUCAUUCGGGAAAACAAUUUCAAGUAUAUUUCCCUUCUCCAUUCUCUGCUCGGAUGAUUGCCGCUUGUGUGAAUUUCAUUGCUGUGGGUCCCGUGUGUGCUCGAAUAAGAUUGUUUUAGGAUUCUAUUUAGUUGAAUUUCUUGACAAAGAAAACUAG